rnacentral:rRNA from 1 species
UACGUAGAAGACUAGUGUUAUUCAUCUUUAAUAGGUUUAAAGGGUACCUAGACGGUAUAAUUAGUCUUAAACAGGAUACGAUUAUACUAGAGUUAUAUAUGAGGAGGUGAGUAUUUAUGCAGUAGAGUUGAAAUUCGUUGAUAGCAUAACGACUGGUAACGGCGAAAGCAACCUUUUAUCUAAUAACUGACGUUGAGGGACGAAGGCUCGGGUAACGAAACCAGG